rnacentral:miRNA from 1 species
ACUCUGUUGAUCGUGAGGUUUU